AUUGAACGCUGGCGGCAGGCCUAACACAUGCAAGUCGAGCGAGCGGCGGACGGGUGAGUAAUGUAUGGGGACUGCCAGCUAGAGGGGGAUAACUACUGGAAACGGUGGCUAAUACCGCAUACUAUCGGAUAACCCAUAUGGGAUUAGCUAGUAGGUGGGGUAAAGGCUCACCUAGGCGACGAUCUCUAGCUGGUCUGAGAGGAUGAUCAGCCAAACUGGGACUGGGACCCGGCCCAGAGUACUAGGGAGGCAGCAGUGGGGAAUAGGGCAGAAUGGGCGCAAGCCUGAUGCAGCCAUGCCGCGUGUAUGAAGAAGGCCUUAGGGUUGUAAAGUACUUUCAGCGGGGAGGCGUUACCCGCAGAAGAAGCGCCGGCUAACUACGUGCCAGCAGCCGCGGUAAUUC
rnacentral:rRNA from 1 species